CGAUGGCACAUGACCUUGUUGCUGAGCCGUCGUGCCCCUGCGCUUGCCCGGAGAGGGGAAAGCGGGGGGUGCGGGCGAAGCCUCCGAGCCGGCGUUCCCUGGCAGGAGGCGGAGGAGGGGGGGAUGGAUUUAGUGGGAAAUAAUACAGAUAACCCCCAGAUCCAGCUCUGCCGGGCAGGAAUGUGCAGGGGGGUGGGGGCGGAGGAUUUAGUAGGGAAAUAACCGGAGUCGCCCGCAGAUGCAGCGCUCCGCCGCACAGCGCAGUGCCCCGCGCUGACCCCGCGCACAACAUGGCCGUGUUCGCCCGGCCCCGCGCCCGCUCCUCCCCAGCCGGAGGGGCGGCUCGGGAGCUCCAGCGGCACCAUCCCGCUCGCUCUCCUUAUGUAUUUAUUUUUUAUUUAUUUUUACUCCACCCACCCCUCUUUUUUUUUCCUCUUUUUUUUUUUUUUUUUUUUAAUCUCCUUUCCUCCUCCUGCCGGUAUGCCCGCUAUCCACACCAUGCAGUGCACGACUAGUGCCGGACUUGGAAAGUAUUUAAUGGUCAGUGGAAAAAAAUGAGGAAGAGGAGGGUGUGGCUGCUGCUGGGAGGCUCUGGCCCUGCAAAGGGUCCCUGCCUCGUAGAGAUGUGGUCCUGCAUCGGCACAAAAUGAAGACUUCUUUUAGCUCUGUUUGGGAGGCCCCGGUUGUGAGCGGAGGGUUUGAGCGCGGUGCCCCGGGCAGAGCUGGGUGCCCGCUCGCAGCCCCGGCGCUUCAGCCGGGCUGCCGGGAGCGCCGCCCGGGACGGACGGACGGACGGACGGACAGAGCGGGCUCCCCGUGCGGGGCUGCCAAGGCACCGCCGCUCACCUGCGCCCGGCGAGCGCCCGCCCGUCCCGAGGCACGAGUAGAGUAAAAAACACCGGGGAAAAAAACUGCAAGAUAAACAUUAUGUCGGCAGCACCCUUAAAAACCUGCUCGUGCAACCACCCCUUUUAAUGACUCCUUUCUUGGAGGAAAAAAAAAUAAAUUAAAAAAUAAAUCACUCGUGCUAGUGCCA
rnacentral:lncRNA from 1 species